UACAUUAUAGUGUAUGACGCACAAGAGUUUUUGAUUCUCUAGGAAAUAGUUUAAUUCUAUUAAAUGUAA
rnacentral:tRNA from 1 species